GGCCGCGGGAAUUCCUUUCAGGCCUAACACAUGCAAGUCGUACGCAAUUGAUCCACUGAGUGCUUGCACUCACCGGAUCGUUGAGUGGCGCACGGGUGAGUAACACGUGGGUAACCUGCCCACCAGAGGGGGAUAACAGUCGGAAACGAUUGCUAAUACCGCAUAGGUUGAACGACCGCAUGGUCGCUCAAGGAAAGACGGCUUUGGCUGUCACUGGUGGAUGGACCCGCGGCGUAUUAGUUAGUUGGUGAGGUAACGGCUCACCAAGACAAUGAUACGUAGCCGACCUGAGAGGGUGAUCGGCCACAUUGGGACUGAGACACGGCCCAAACUCCUACGGGAGGCAGCAGUAGGGAAUCUUCCGCAAUGGACGAAAGUCUGACGGAGCAACGCCGCGUGAGUGAAGAAGGUUUUCGGAUCGUAAAACUCUGUUGUUAGAGAAGAACAUGUCUGAGAGUAACUGUUCAGGCAUUGACGGUAUCUAACCAGAAAGCCACGGCUAACUACGUGCCAGCAGCCGUGGUAAUACGUAGGUGGCAAGCGUUGUCCGGAUUUAUUGGGCGUAAAGCGAGCGCAGGCGGUUUCUUAAGUCUGAUGUGAAAGCCCACGGCUUAACCGUGGAGGGUCAUUGGAAACUGGGAAACUUGAGUGCAGAAGAGGAGAGUGGAAUUCCAUGUGUAGCGGUGAAAUGCGUAGAUAUAUGGAGGAACACCAGUGGCGAAGGCGACUCUCUGGUCUGUAACUGACGCUGAGGCUCGAAAGCGUGGGUAGCAAACAGGAUUAGAUACCCUGGUAGUCCACGCCGUAAACGAUGAGUGCUAAGUGUUGGAGGGUUUCCGCCC
rnacentral:rRNA from 1 species